UGAUAGGUCAUCUCAUCUGGAAGGAGAGAUGGCUUAAAGGGGUGCGCGAGCUUCUUUUGUGCACCUGCUCUAGGAUGGGACUGCGGCCGAUCAGGCUGUUGGUGGGGUAAUGGCCCACCAAACCUGUAACCGGUACGGGCCUUGAGAGAGGGGGCCCGGAGAUGGACACUGAGAGAAGGGUCCAGGUCCUACGGGGCGCAGCAGGCGCGAAACCUUCGCAAUGCGCGAAAGCGUGACGAGGUUAAUCCGAGUGGUUCCCGCUGAGGGAAUCUUUUGUUGGCUCUAAAAUGGCCAGUGAAUAAGGGGAGGGCAAGUCUGGUGUCAGCCGCCGCGGUAAUACCAGCUCCUCGAGUGGUCGGGGCGAUUAUUGGGCCUAAAGCAUCCGUAGCCUGUUCUGUAGGUCUUCUGUUAAAUCCAACGGCUUAACCGUUGGUCUGCAGAAGAUACCGCACGACUAGGAGGCGGGAGAGGUGGACGGUACUCCACGUGUAGGGGUAAAAUCCUUUGAUCCGUGGAAGACCACCAGUGGCGAAGGCGGUCCACCAGAACGCGCUCGACGGUGAGGGAUGAAAGCUGGGGGAGCGAACCGGAUUAGAUACC
rnacentral:rRNA from 1 species